AGUGCGACGUUGCCGGUCGAAGCGUCUCCAGCACAGGUGUCAAAAAGGUUCAAACACGCCUGAAAAUCCUAAACUGUAUAUUGUUCAAUGUCGAGGGCGUCGUGAAUUUCGCCUCGUGGGCGUUGCACCCGCAGCACACUGACCCAGACAUAUGGGCUCUGGAGGAAGGAACUCUUGGCGUGACAACGGGCGCGAAUGACGAGCUGUUGCCAAAAGAGAUCAAAGAGGUAGCGAGCAUCGACGAGAUGUUGCAGCCAGAGCGAGCGUCGCUUCAGAUCAUCGGAUCUUAUCGUGUUGCUCUUGAUCUCGGAACGAUGGGCGUCGUAUGCAAAGGACGCUUCAAACAUGAGGUCUGCCUUCCAUUGACAAGCCGUACUAUGACGUUUUCCUGAACAAAGCCCUCGAGAGCAAACAGGAUGUUCGCCCCGAUGCCGAGCGCUCGGAUCUUGCUCAGGCGUUUAUUUAAUCUGGUAUCUAUGUGGCACUUCAAGACCCUGCGGAUCAGUGUAGACACUUCUGUAUUGUACGGAAUGACCUGUUCAAUGCGGCACGGCUACUCUCUUGAAGCAAAUAUAAAGCUUUCGAACAAAUUCGCAAGCAGCAUUGGCGGAGACGAUCCAAGUUCCUCGUUUACGAGGGGGGAUUCGGAACCGAGUCUCUUUCCAGGAGGUGCGCACUCGCCAACUUGUUCAAUAUUCUCGAAAUGGAAAUGACCGAUAAGCCGCGUCGCUCUUAUUGGCAGCGAAUGGCGCUGCCCGUGCUGUAUUCCACGAAAGCCGCACCCCGACUCUACCGACGACAGCGACAAACGUUUGCAGGAAUCGAUUCUGUACGAUCUCUGUCGAUAAGUACAGGGCGCCGGAUACCUCCCAUGACCGGAGCAUAUGACCACGCUGAAACUGGUACAGAAGCAGAGUCGAAACCGAACCGCAGUCACGAAACGGUCGACUCUCAUUUGAGCUAACUCCAGGUAUCGAGACAAUUUGAGUUUACUGCCCUGUUAAAAUGUGAUUGCGCAAGCAACCAAGCGCACAAGCAUAUGCUGCAUCGAGACCUGAACGCCUCGAUCAACAUUGCGAAAUGUGUCGUGCUGCAGGAGCCUCAAACGGCACUGUGUCGAUAAAACUUUCGAUGGAAUCUUCUCGGGCUCCUUACAGGCGUUCUGUUGAAAUGGGUAAGACUUUCAAUGAGAAACAAAAGUAUCAGCCAUUAGAGGGGCGAUUCCUUGCCCGACUGUAUCCGGGCACUGGUAUGAACCUGGUCAGCAAUCCAGCAAGGCCUGGACGCCGUCUCUCUAUAUUCGGGGAACGAGUUUCCCGAGCGACUGGUGAACGACAAUCCGAAUCCGUUCUGCCAUACUACUUAGCGUGCAAGGACCGAGCGUCCACGAAACUGGUCGUCGAGUGGAACCCAUCGCUUUGAGUACAUACGCUCAUGGAUGGCGUGCGGAAAGCACUCGUGCGCUGCCGGCCCUGUGCAGCAUUCAUGAGCGACGCAUCGCUUCUAAUGCUCUCGCCUCCACGAACCAGAUUGGAAGCACUCGUGCUCUGCGGGUAUCGUCUUACACCCACGAGAACCCGACCCUGACAGAAUGGUGGAAGCAGCAGCGUCCACCGCAGAACGAUAAACGCACAUGGUGUCGCACGAAAGACGCAAAUGAUCGUUUCGAACGACGUUUGUGUGCUCAGGAUCGUCUUGCGAACAUCUGUUGCGAAACCCUUCCCAUAUACCCACCCGGUUCCAUAUCCAGAGCAUGCCUCUAAGCAGUGCAGAGCUGUAACUGCAAGCGCGCCCUACACAAACACCCGUGGUAUCUUGCAACGAUCAACAGUCGCUGCCGCCUUCGGAUGCUUCUUGAUGGCACGAAUCGAGCAGCCGAAGCGAGCUUCACUGCUCAUCCGCGCUUAGUGAGGUCUCUGCAUACACGUGAUCCGCUAAACGUUGUUUUCAUAGAUGCAUGUAAAGCGCG